AAAAUGGAGCACACAAUCUUGGCCUGGGGAGCUUUGUUAGCUUCAAGAGAGACCAAUGACCUUACCAGUGGCAGUGUCGAGAUCAAUAUCAUAAAAGCAAGGCCUCGUUGGAAGCCCUGGCAUUGUACUCAUUGUCCCAACUAAAGGAUAAAUGAAACCAGCACCAAUGCUUGCCCUCACAUCCCUUAUUGGCAAAAUAAAUCCAGUCGGUGCUCCUUUCUCAGCUGCAUUGUGUGAAAAUGAGUACUGGGUUUUGGCCAUGCAGAUUGGUAGACCAGAGAACCCCUGCCUGCUGUACAUCUCAAUUUGCUUCUCAGCCUGCUCUGAAUACUCGACGCCCUUAGCACCAUAUGACCUUGCUAUAGCCUCUAUUUUCUCUUUGAUACUAAUAUCUAAAGGAUAUAAAAACUUCAAUGGCUGUGUCACAUUCUCACAGGCUCUUUGAACAGCAAUUCCUAGGUCCACCGCUCCCUUUCCACCAUGGGCAUGGUGUGUACAGACGACAGCAUCAUAUGCCCCAGCAGCCAAUGCUGCAUUUUUUACCGCAUUAAGUUCUGCUUCUGUAUCAGUUGAGAACAUGUUCACAGCAACAACGACAUUCACACCAUAAGACUUUGUGUUUGAGAUAUGCCUAGUCAGAUUCACACACCCAGCUUCAACCAAAGCCACAUUCUCAGUUGUGUAGGCAUGGUCUAGAGGCUUCCCAGCAACAACUUCUGGUCCACCACCAUGCAUCUUCAGGGCCCUAAUUGUUGCAACAAUAAUUGCACACUGAGGCAUUAAUCCACUAUAUCGGCAUUUUAUAUUCAUGAAC
rnacentral:misc_RNA from 1 species